CUAUUAUUUUAAGUGUUAAUUUUGCUUACCUGGGUAGUUUUAGUUAUGAUCUUUAAACCCAAAGAAUUUGGCGGUACCUUAUUCCAUUCAGAGGAACCUAUCCCGUAAUUGAUAAUACACGAUUAACUUUACUUAAUUUAUUUGUUUGUAUAUCUCCGUUAUCAGAAAAUCUUAUUGGAGUUAUAAUUUUCUUAAUUUAUAAUUUUAAAAUAUUUCAGGUCAAGGUGCAGCUUAUAAUUAAGAGGAGGUGGGUUACAAUGGAUUUUUGUUUAUUACGUAUUUAUUAAUGAAAUACUUUUAAUGAAGGUGGAUUUGAUAGUAAUUUAAUUUAUUUAAUUUAAUUGAUAUUGGCUCUGAGGUGUGUACACAUCGCCCC
rnacentral:rRNA from 1 species